CCAAGGCCCCACCUCCCAGAUUCCGACCAGUCAAUCUGGAAUGGGCCUGAGGAUCUUUAUUAUUUUUUUAAUUUUGAGACAGAGUCUCACUCUGUCGCCCAGGCUGGAGUGUGGUGGCACGAUCUCAGCUCACU